CCUACGGGCGGCUGCAGUGGGGAAUAUUGGACAAUGGGCGAAAGCCUGAUCCAGCCAUGCCGCGUGUGUGAAGAAGGCCUUCGGGUUGUAAAGCACUUUCAGUGGGGAAGAAAGCCUUGGGGCUAAUACCCUCGAGGAAGGACAUCACCCACAGAAGAAGCACCGGCUAACUCCGUGCCAGCAGCCGCGGUAAUACGGAGGGUGCGAGCGUUAAUCGGAAUUACUGGGCGUAAAGCGCGCGUAGGCGGUCUGAUAAGCCGGUUGUGAAAGCCCCGGGCUCAACCUGGGAACGGCAUCCGGAACUGUCAGGCUAGAGUGCAGGAGAGGAAGGUAGAAUUCCCGGUGUAGCGGUGAAAUGCGUAGAGAGCGGGAGGAAUACCAGUGGCGAAGGCGGCCUUCAGGACUGACACUGACGCUGAGGUGCGAAAGCGUGGGUAGCAAACAGGAUUAGAUACCCUGGUAGUC
rnacentral:rRNA from 1 species